GUGAAGGUGUGGACUCUGCUAUGAAUCAGGCUGAGGACCCAGAGGACGGAGUCCCUCCCUCUGAAGCCCCUCUGUGUGGGGAACAUGACAGCCAGACCAAAGCUCAGAGGUGUGAAGGUGUGGACUCUGCUAUGAAUCAGGCUGAGGACCCAGAGGACGGAGUCCCUCCCUCUGAAGCCCCUCUGUGUGGGGAACAUGACAGCCAGACCAAAGCUCAGAGGACCCAUCAGAGACCAGGACCUGGACCUGGACCCAGCUGUGUGUCCAUGAAGAGUAACCGGUCUAUGGAUCCUCCUCUAAACUUCAAAGAUGUUGGUCCCUCUGUUGAUGCAAGUUCACAUCAGCAGAGAGGAAAGUCUCCUGAACCCAGAUGUUUGUCC
ensembl:lncRNA